rnacentral:misc_RNA from 1 species
GAACUGCGAUACGUAAUGUGAAUUGCAGAAUUCAGUGAAUCAUCGAAUCUUUGAACGCAAGUUGCGGUCCUGGGUCCUCCCGGGACCAUACCUGUUUGAGUAUCAGCAAUGCAUCCUCAUACAAUGUAUUUUGUAUGGACUUGAGGGUCACAAGCAAUCACUUGUUUGGGUCCCUUUAAAUAUCGGAAGGAUGAAGGCAAAGCAUAUUGCAUUCAAAUGGUCUCAUGUGGCAAUUGUCUUAUGACAUUAACAACAUGGAAUCAUUGCAAUAUCUGUUUUUCUCUCAACCUUUGCAGGACAACAGUCGUUGAACUGAAACUAUGAUCUCAAAUCAGGUAAGACUACCCGCCGAAUUUAA